ACAGCUGUGUUUGACACUGACACUGACAUCACCAACAGUAUUGAUUUUUGUAUUCAUUCAAGUCAAGCUACCUUAUCGCGUCUUAUCGCGAUAUCUGUUUUGUCGUAGAGUGUUUGAUUAGUUAGUCACGAUUGAUAGGUCAGAGAACUCACCGGAGUCUCCGACUUCGGACCACUCUGCCCGCUCGGAUCACUCUGACCACCCGGAUGACCACCCGGGGCAGUCUAAUCAUCCGGACAACGUUGACCACCCUGACAACCCUGACCGCCCGGACCACUCAGACGAAGACUCUGACCUCUCGGAACGCGCGGUACCCCCGGACCGCCCGAACAUCCCGAACCUCCCGAACGUCCCGAACCUCCCGAACAUCCCGAACGCCCCGACCCGCUCGAACCGCUUGAACCGUAUUCCGCCUAGGUGUGAGUGCUUGAACGUGUAUUCUACGAAUAUGACAGAAGUAGAUUUAGAGAAAGCGCAGAUCAUCCAAUAUGUGCCGUUCCAGUCGUUCGUGCACCCUUCUUUUUGGCAUACUCUCACCAAUUUGAAACUCGACGUAGAUAAAUUGAAAGAGACUAAAAAGGAGAUUUGGGGUCGGUUCAGUUAUCGUGGCGACGUAGAAGCUAUAUUCGAAGUGGAUGGAACGUCCUUCAACGUUUUUCCUGAAGAUGACAUUAUGUAUGCGAAUGUAAGGGGAACAUUAAUGAACAAGAAUACUAUUGAGGAGUAUAAAACCAUUGAUAAAGCUGCAUUGUUAAAUGCAGUUGGCAAGGAAAUGUGGGAAAACAUGAAAACUAAAGCUUGGAUUGAUAACCCCUUUGAAUUAUAUAAUUUUAUAAUUCUAUCUUUUGCUGAUCUCAAAAAAUUCAACUAUUACUACUGGUUUGCAUUUCCUGCACCUAGCCAGCCCACAGUUUUUAUUAACGAAAUAAGUUCGAACAUAAAGUUAAUUUUCGGUACGAUUGAAAUUAAUGCAUUAUCACAAGGCUACAAAGCUCUGUAUGAGGAACAAAAAGGUUACUUUAUUGUCACAAGAUCUGAUUUUGGAAUUAAUGUUACAACAUUAUCAACUGUGCUGGAUGCAAAUGGAGGUUUCAAAGAGGAUGUGGAUCUAACCAAUACAUAUUUUGCGUUCACUGAUCCAAGUAAUGGCAGAAAUCCUGGGUGGCCAUUACGCUUAUUUUUGGCGGCUUUGAUAGACCACUGCCCAACUCUACUUGGCGCUUCUAUUAACGUAUUGGCUCUACGAGCCAAUUACACUGCUGGCGUUGACAAUAGCCGCCUAUAUACUGUGAAAGUGCCACAGGAGGUCAAGCCUGUUGAGUCAGCAGGUUGGGUUGGUUGGGAAAGGAAUGACAAAGGCAAUUUUGGGCCAAAGCUCGCCAACAUGUCUGCAUCGCUAGACCCUGCUGUACUGGCUGAAACCUCAUCAGAUCUGAACAUAAAGUUAAUGAAAUGGCGUCUUGUGCCCGACAUAGAUGUGGACAUCAUGAAGAGAACCCGAUGCUUAUUAUUCGGAGCUGGCACUCUUGGCUGUCAUGUCGCUCGAGAUUUAUUGGCCUGGGGCUUUCGACACAUCACAUUUAUAGACAACGGCAAAGUAUCUUAUUCCAACCCAACGAGGCAGAUACUCUAUACUUUCCACGACUGUCUGAAUGGCGGGCGAAUGAAAGCCGAGGCAGCAGCGAAUGCAAUAUUAAAUAUAUUGCCUUCAGUUGUGAGUGAGGGAAUAGUAGCACACAUUCCAAUGCCCGGACAUCCGAUCGGAGACGCGAUGACGGAUGAAACAGUUGACAACGUUAAGCGGAUCGCACAAGCAGUAGAUGACCAUGAUGUUUUAUUUCUACUCCUGGAUUCUAGGGAGGCACGCUGGCUUCCCACAUUGUUGGGAAAUCACUAUGGAAAGAUAGUGAUAAAUGCAGCUCUAGGUUUCGACAGUUACCUAGUGAUGCGUCACGGUUUUAAUGCCGAAUACGAAUACUCUCCGGAACCAGUACAGAUUCCGGAUAACAAGGAUUGUAUGCCCGGUGUUGAUCUAGGCUGCUAUUUCUGCAAUGAUGUCACUGCUCCUGGCGAUUCGAUGAAAGAUCGCACACUCGAUCAGCAAUGCACGGUGACGCGGCCGGGUGUAUCAGCGAUAGCCGGCGCCUUGGCGGUUGAGUUACUCGUUGGAGUAUUACAACAUCCACUAGGGGGACGUGCACCAGCUAUGAUAAACUUAAAGACAGAUUCCGACGACCCACCCAAAGAGUGCCGAAGUGUACUCGGUCCCGUGCCACAUUCACUAAGGGGCUUCUUAAGUACUCACACAACGAUUGCUCCGACUUGUGCCAAAUUCAAGCAGUGCAUAGCCUGCUCAGAUAUUGUGCUAAAUAGAUACAGGGAGUAUGGUUUCGAAUUCUUGUUUGAAGUAUUCGAUAGUGGAAACCAUUUGGAAGAAGUGACCGGACUCCGUGAAUUGCAUUUGUCUGCGGAAAUGACUGAGAUACUGACAUUGUCGGAUGAUGAAGAGGAGGAAUAAAUCUGAAAAAACAUAUAUUAUUAAUUAAAGCUCUACUUUUUUGCCAUAUUAAAUAUCCAGGCAUUUAUAAGUGUUAGUAGCAUGUUUAAAAUCUCGAUGUUACAAUUUACUCAUUCAUUGUCCUAUGUGAGCGAGUAAUGCGACUGGAUGUAACGAAAAGACUAAGAAGUCAGAAGGUGCUGCAACAGGCCUAUGAAUGUUUACAAUAGAAAUAUCGCCAAAGUGGGUCGUUUAUUUUGCUCACCCAGGACAGUCUUAAUUAAAUUUUGAUCGUCUAUAGUAUACUAUUCAAUCUAUGUGGAAUUAUUAAAAAUAAUCCAUUCAGCAAAUAUAAUCAAUUCAAGCGCAAAAAAGCAGCUUUAUAUGUUGUGAUAUUAUAUUAUUUAUGUGUAUAUAAAUGUCUCUAAAUGUGUAAAAUAAAAUCAAUAAAAAUAA
rnacentral:misc_RNA from 1 species